rnacentral:rRNA from 1 species
UACGGAGGGUGCAAGCGUUGUCCGGAAUCACUGGGCGUAAAGGGCGCGUAGGCGGCUCAUGAAGGCUGUGGUGAAAGUCCGGGCUCAACCUCGGAUCGGCCGUGGCGACUCGUGGGCUGGAGCACUGUAGAGGCGGGUGGAAUUCCGGGUGUAGCGGUGGAAUGCGUAGAGAUCCGGAAGAACACCAGUGGCGAAGGCGGCCCGCUGGGCAGUGGCUGACGCUGAGGCGCGACAGCGUGGGGAGCAAAGAGG